UCUAGUUUUUUUUCUUAUAGAGUGAGAGAUUCUAUGUGAGGAUGGGUGGAUUUGAAUGCUUCGUUCGAUAGUAUAAUUGGGGACCUUGGGUUAGAUGAAGGAGGACUUCUUAGGGAGGAAAAGUCUUUUAGAUCAUACCUAGCUUUCCGCCGGAUUCUGAGAUUUCUUGCCAUGAUUUUCUACGAUGAAUCCUAUGUGUGUGAGCUUAACUCAUGUUGGUUUGGUAUUUCAGAUUUGAUUUGGUGAUUUUCGGCUGAUGAACUUAGUGCGUGCUUGCUUAAAUCAUGUUGGUGAGGGAGAUACCUCCAAGGAUAUGAUAGGAGACGUGGAGGUGAACUAGCUAAGGAGUUGAGAUAGAAGCAUGACACACUGUCUGGGUAUCCCUGAUAGUAUGUCAUGAGAUAUGUUCGCUGCUUGUCAUAUACUAAUUGGGCUGUGGGGUUAGCCUCUGGCUAAAACUUGGUAGGUAAUUCAUGAACUUUGUUCGAGGGAUAUAUAUUACGUUUUAUGAUUCAUAUGUUAGGUAAAUUU